ACCUGAUGACAGUUCAGCAUGGAAGUCAUUAAUGCCACUUUAGAGUGAGAAGCUUUGGCCUCUGUGAAGUUCUGGGAGAUGACGCUGCCGAAGGCUGCCCUUCCUGGCCGUCACACAGCUUCCCUGCUGGCCUCCUGCUUCAACAAAUAUCCACGGCUUUAGGUCAGGAACUUCUGAGGGAAAGUCACCUCAUAAUUGUGACAUAUCUGGCUGGAGUUUACUUCCCCUUGGGGUGUGCCCUGGAUCUCCUCCACAGUGAUGGCCAGUACCACCUGGCUGAGGGACUGUGAGUCUUUGCCUCCAUGCAGGUGAAGUCGCUUGAGAGGGGGGAAAACUCAUUCGUUUGCUGUCAACAGUGUUGCAUAUCCACGGAAAACAUUGGCAAGAUCCCAAGCCAGCCUCAAGCAGACUCUAAAUAUUCUCCGAGAAAUAGCCUUCAAUCAAUAGAGAAAUUGUCUAAAUGCGCAGCAGGGUAAAACCCAGUUCAGGUCUGUUAAAGGUUUCUCCCAUUCAAAGGGGGGCUGGGAUGUCGUUUUAAAGGCCGGAACCUAAGAUAAGGUCGACAGUAAUACUAUUUCCUUACACUGGCUAUUACUUAACAGUUUGUGGAACACUUUCAUGAUUCUCUCUUUGGAUUUUUCAGAGAGAGAGAGAGAGAGUUAAUAGAGCAAUGAUUAUAGUUAAGAAUUAUGCAAUUAUAUAGCAGAUAGAAUUAACAAGGGGUAAGAACACUCAUCUUAAAACACACACACACACACACACACACACACACACACUUUCCAGGACAACUGCCUGGCUCAAUCAGUUAAGUGUCUGCAUUUGGCCCAGGUCAUGAUCCCAGGGUCCUGGGAUCGGGCCCUGCAUUGGGCUCCCUGCCUACUUCGCCCUUUGCCUGCUUCUCACCCUGCUUGUGCGCACUCUCUCUCUCUCUCUGACAAAUAAAUAAAAUCUUUAAAAACAAAAACAAAAAACUUUCCUGUAUGUUAAAUAGUUAAUAUAAGAGCUAUGGCAAUUAAGGGAUGAAACAUGAACAGAGUUAAUUCGGCAAGAAAAUAAAUGUUUUUGAAACACCUACAGUGAGCCUGGCCCUGUGCAGGGAUCGUGACAUGCGUUAUUCUUCUCAGUCCUUACAACAGAUUGGAGGUAUUGGGCAUUUUACCGAAGCAAAACGGACAGAGGAGUGGUUUCACUGAGUCAGUCCAGUAAUUGUACGAUCCGAGAGGUGAACCCACCUCCUUAUGACUCCCAAGCCCAGUGUCUUGCCGUCAUGCUACCCUCCCUCAAGGUACUUAGCAUGAAUGUUGCUCAUCAUUUCUUCUUUCCUUUCGAUUUGCAUCAUCACUUCAGUUGGAUGUGAUCACACCCUCCAUAGCUCUUUCCAUCCUCACGAUCACGUCCUAAUAGUAGAGAUGAUUCACUGACCUCAUUCAAAGCUACUAUGGUUACUUCGAGAUCCUCAUCUCAUGUUAUACCAUAGUAUUCCUUGAAAGUAGGUCUUGAGUCUUACUCAUUUUUAUAUCUUAAGCAGCAUCUUACAUACUGUUCUGCAUCUAAUAUUUACUCACUAAAUUUUUAAGUUAGUAGUGUAAAUGAUUCGUGCCAACUUCAUAAUUCUACUACUGAUGAUUUGUGCUGAGGGAGUGGAGCUUUCAAUAGUAUAAUAAAUGUUUAGCAAGUGAUUUUGAAUGAAACUAAGAGAAGCAAAAUGCUCAUAAGCCAGGGAUUAAAGUUCUGGUGUAAAGUUCUGUUGUCUUUAUCCUGUCCAUGAAACUUACAACAUGAAGUUUAAAAUGGAUGAAGGUUUUUUUUUUUUUUUAAGAUUUUAUUGCUUUAUUUGAUAGA